rnacentral:tRNA from 1 species
GCCUCGGUGGUCGAACGGUAAAGACAACCGCAUGGAAUAUGAAAUUCCGGGUUCAAAUCCUGACUGAGGUA